CAGAUCUGUUCGACAGGUAAGCGCCGCCCCCGCCGCCCCCGCCGCCGCCGUCCGAGGCCGGCGAGGUUUGCAUCCAGAGCUUCUUUGUCUCCAUCCUCUCCGCUCGUUUAGUUGUCUACUGCUGUCAAGUUUGCUGCGAGUUUUGCAUCUGCCGUUUCGAUUCUGUUCUCGAGAGCAUCCGUGAUGUUACAUCCACUUUUACUCAUCCUUGCACUUUGAGUCUCGGCAGUGAAGAUAAACAUUGGGGAAUUUGUAGUCUGAGAUGCUCUCGUGUUCUCUCUUUUGUUUAAUUUUGUCUGCCCCGUUUCUUCGCCGAUUUGCGUUGUUUCAUGCCAUGGAUCGAUGAUGUGUUUGUUAACUGCGUUAUCUUUCUGAACUUCCCAAGUAAAGAGGAAAGCAUUACCUACUGAGAUCCAACACGCUUGUAAGUUUUUUUUGCUUUCUUAUUGGACAGUUGAGAUUAUUUUUAUUUCGCUCUGGGUAAUAUACUCUGUUUAUUCCCCCCAAAGGAAAUAUACUCUGUUUAUUCAUGUAACUAUAUUGGGCAAAACUUAAGCUUGAGUUUAAAAGAAAUCAGUUUUGCUAAAGCGUAUAUAGAUGUGCCUUAAGGCUGAUGUAACUUGUUCAAAUCCCGUACAUGCUUGGCUACGAUUAUUUGCGGUAGAUUAGAUCUUUUUCUUAAUUUUCUCGUUUGAUCUUUGUUGAUUCGAUGUAAUGGUUUUGUGCUUCGUCAUCUGGUCCUUGGGAGGAUCAGUCUCUGGUCUAUUUCCACUGGACUCGUUCCCUUGAAGCUACAUUGACCUGUUGUAUCACGAGCUCGUUACUUUUGUGCCCUAGGAUGUGCCUCAACAAAUGGCACCGUGGCUCUUACAUACAUUAUCUUUAUGACAUUCAAAACUCGAUCUAUUUCUUUCUGCAUUGCUGUCUUUGGUUCUAUGUGUUUUUCCACUUUAGUUUUUGUGUUUUGAGAUUGCUUUCUGAGUUAUUAAGAUGGAAGUGAGGAUCCUUUCCCCAGCUGAUCGACUAUGAUUAUACUGUGCGCAAACGUAAUCCUUUAUCAGAGGAUUCCAAGCCAGAAAUCUGAUCCAUCCAUUUGAAAAUUUUAUCUUAGCUCCUCUGUUUAUAUUAGUAAUUUCAUUGAUGUUUUUUGUAUUUUAAGUGAGUAUCUUUUCCACAAAUCUUAUUGUUAUACGACAUACGGUUUCCAAGCAAGAAAUCUUUUCCAUUUAAGCCCCCAAUCUUAAGCUGCCCUACACAGACUGUGCUGAACCGGGUGGUGCUACAAGCCUAAGCUGUCAAACACUCAACGAUAUUGCGCUGUGCAUAUGAUGAGAAACAAUAUGCAACUCACGACGGUCGUCUGAGACACUUAGUGUGUAAUGGUGCAUUCAUAUGUUCUCUGAUGUCCCCACUAUAUCUUCAGUUUGUCUGUGCAUUCGGUUCUCCUGUGUAUUCUAUGUGUAGGGCCUUGCCUUUGUUUCACUAAUUGAUUAGACGCGAAAGUGAUUCUAUGAGGAACUUAUACUUUGCUAAUGCAUCUAUGAUGUUGAAAGGCCAAUGACCUGAUAUGUCCUUUUCAUUAUGAGUGCGUUGAAUGCCUUUUUUUGUUUUCAAAUACAGUAGUAAUUUUCCUAUCUUCUGAUUUUCAAAGGUACUCCCUCCUUAAACUAAUAUAAGAACGUUUAGAUCACUCCGUGUAACUGCCAUUUAUUCCAAACUAAUGCCUCUUUGUUGCAUCUCUUCUCCUUGUAUGUAAGUCCAUAAUCAUCUUAUGAAAAAGGAAGAUUCCAUUUUAACAACUCAUCAGAGAGCAACUUCAAUGGGUCGAUCUAAAUGGACAUUGGCUGCCCGUUUAGUGUCUGCCCUAUUUUAGAUUUGGAUACAAGGCACCGACUCUUAUGUGCCGGCUGGUCCCCUUAUUAACAAAUAGCUCAUUUUGCUUUUCUUUUGCAUUUAAACAUAUAGUUAAAUAACAUAGUUUCAACCAAAUAAAAUAACGUUGUUUAAAUCAAUGAACUUAAAAAUGUCUCACAUAGUUUUGUAAACUGAAUAAAGAAGACACGUCUAUUGGUUGUCCAUUUGAGCCAUGCUCAAUUUCUCGUUGUUUUAAAUCAAACUGAUUUCAUUGCUAUCAUUGAUUACAGAAAGUAUAUAUAUCUCCCGGAGAGUGUCCCGACUCUCUGGUGCGGAUGUAACCGCAUGGCGGUUUAGGCAAGAUGAGAUUCCUCCCUAAUUACAUAUGUACAUGGCGGUUUAGGCAAGAUGAGAUUCCUCUCCCUAAUUACAUAUGUACGGUUUAGGCAAGAUGAGAUUCCUCCCUAAUUACAUAUGUACGCAUGACCAUGUAGAGUCGUCUCAGGAUCAUCCAGCUAGGGCUAUUAUCUUGAAAUGUUUCUCCAGCUAUCAUCUUGUAAAGAUUUUCCUUCAAAAAAUUCUUCAUGAAAACUUAAUGAGAACCUGAAACAUAAACUUCACAAAAAUAGCAUAAUGUGAUGGUAUUGAAUAAGGAUAUCUCAAGGAGAGGCUCCUCUUGUUGCUUGCAAGUCUCUAUGUCGUCGCAUACCAAUUCCAUGAACACAUUUCUGGAAUGUUGAGUUUAAUAGAGACUUAGUAAAUAAAUCAGUAAGGUUGUUGUAUGAUUUAACUUGCAGAAUUCUUGUUUCCCUGCUUUUCUAAAGAUUGUGAGGGAAAAACCAUUUAGGUAUGCUUAGUGAUAUUGCUUUUGAUGUAUCCUGUUUGCAUCUGUACAACACAAGCAGCAUUAUCCUCAUAGAAAAUGGUGGGUGAUUCAGUUGAACCAAUUCCACAUGAUUGUUGUAUAUGGUUUAUCAUUUUGCGAAGCCAUACACAUUCACAUGAUGCUUUAAAUAAUGAAAUUAUUUCAGAAUGAUUGGUAGAUGUAGCCAUUAGAUUUUGUUUUGAAGACUUUCAUGAUAUAGCUGUACCGUCAUGUAGGAACACAAAACCGGUCUGAGAUCUGGCAUUAUGGGGAUCGGACGAAUAACAGGCAUCUGCAUACCCAAUCAUAUUAGAGUCCAGAUUGCUCUAAAGCUGGAAAAAUAGGCCUAGAUCCUUUGUGCCGAGAUAUCGAAAGAUAUUCUUCACUCCAGGGAGCUUGGUGUACCAUGAUUCCUGAGGAAAGGUGAUCAAGUUGAAUACCUAAGCAAAAUUUGGUUUUACCCAAAUCGUUCAUGUCAAAUUCCAUCUUGAGGUGAUUGCCUGCUUCAUCAAUGUCUGGUGCAGUGCUGAUGAUGUUGGGAUCAUCAACAUACAUAGAGAUGAUGCAAAAUUUUGUAGAGGACUUCUUGAUGAAGACACAUGGGCAAUCAUCACUAUUGAAGUAACCUUUCUGAAGAAGGAACUCACUUAGUCGGUUGUACCACCAACUGUUUUAACCCAUACAAUGACUUAUUCAACUUUACACAAUACAUGUUGCGUUUUGCAUUGUUA